rnacentral:rRNA from 1 species
AUUCGCUAGUAAUCGCGCAUCAGCCACGGCGCGGUGAAUACGUUCCCGGGCCUUGUACACACCGCCCGUCAAGCCAUGGAAGCCGGGAGUGCCUGAAGUGCGUGAGCGCAAGCAGCGCCCUAAGGUAAAACCGGUGACUGGGGCUAAGUCGUAACAAGGUAUC